UUACAGUAGAAUGAAGGUCCAAAUUUUUAGGGUCCUGGUACGUCGUGUCUUACUGUAUGAUUGUGAGACUUGGACACUAACCAGUGAUCUAAGG